CUCAUCACUACGUACAAGAGGACGAUGCAAGGACACACUGUAUGAGAGUGCCUUUGGGAUGAUGAAAAGCAGGUUUAGAGCCAUCUUCCUGCAAACGCUGGAGGUACACCACACCUUCGCCCCUCAUGUCAUAACAGCAUGUGCCAUCCUCCAUAACAUCUGCCUUGGGACUGGUGGUAUCAUGGCCCUGGAGGAUGAGCCUGAAGAUGGCACGGAAGAUGAGGGGGAGGCUGACCAGGAAGCUGCAAGUGGGGCUGUCUGGAGGGACCGGAUGGCAGCAGAGGUUUCUGCCCUGGAGGAGGCACCAGACGACCAUGACUAACGUC